AUUGAACGCUGGCGGCAGGCCUAACACAUGCAAGUCGAGCGGCAGCGGGAAAGUAGCUUGCUACUUUUGCCGGCGAGCGGCGGACGGGUGAGUAAUGCCUGGGAAAUUGCCCAGUCGAGGGGGAUAACAGUUGGAAACGACUGCUAAUACCCCAUACGCCCUACGGGGGAAAGCAGGGGACCUUCGGGCCUUGCGCGAUUGGAUAUGCCCAGGUGGGAUAAGCUAGUUGGUGAGGUAAUGGCUCACCAAGGCGACGAUCCCUAGCUGGUCUGUGAGGAUGAGCAGCCACACUGGAACUGGGACACGGUCCAGAUUCCUACGGGAGGCAGCAGUGGGGAAUAUUGCACAAUGGGGGAAACCCUAAUGCAUGCAUGCCGCGUGUGUGAAGAAGGCCUUCGGGUUGUAAAGCACUUUCAGCGAGGAGGAAAGGUUGAUGCCUAAUACGUAUCAACUGUGACGUUACUCGCAGAAGAAGCACCGGCUAACUCCGUGCCAGCCGCCGCGGUAA
rnacentral:rRNA from 1 species